AUCGAACGCUGGCGGCAGGCUUAACACAUGCAAGUCGAGCGAGCGGCGGACGGGUGAGUAAUGUCUGGGAAACUGCCUGAUGGAGGGGGAUAACUACUGGAAACGGUAGCUAAUACCGCAUACCAUCAGAUGUGCCCAGAUGGGAUUAGCUAGUAGGUGGGGUAAUGGCUCACCUAGGCGACGAUCCCUAGCUGGUCUGCGAGGAUGACCAGCCACACUGGAACUGAGACACGGUGCAGACGCCUGCGGGAGGCAGCAGUGGGGAAUAUUGCACAAUGGGCGCGAGCCUGAUGCAGCCAUGCAGCGUGUGUGAAGAAGGCCUUCGGGUUGUAAAGCACUUUGAGCGGGGAGGCGUUACUCGCAGAGGAAGCACCGGCUAGCUCCGUGCAAGCAGCCGCGGUAAUUC
rnacentral:rRNA from 1 species